CGCACAGUGUACAAUAAUUAUUGUUGUACGGCUGACGAUUUAAUUUGACCGGCCGAAACGUAAGGGGAGGGGGGAAAUAAUCGUAUACGCGUAUUUCGUUUGAAUCAGGUAACCGUGCUGCAGCGGCGCAUCGGCGUCAACCGGAGUUCGAAAACAGCGCGCCGCGUUUUCAGUGCGUAUAAUUCGUUCUUACGAAAAUAAGGAAAACACUGUGAUAUCACUCGUGUGAAAUGUCCGGUUCACGAUCCUGGUAUAACGCACCCGUAAAAUAAUAUCGAUGCGAUUUUGCAAUGUUUCGCGAAAUUACAAUAUCGCUGGUUUAUAUUAAUUAUUUAUCGUAAAGCGCGUAUUUAUCAUAAUAGGCGAAUUAAUACGGCACCCAUUGCGUCAGAAUUAUAAUAAUAUCGAGAAUAUUUUAAUAAGUGUUUAUAUUUUGCAGUAUGCCCUUAUAUCCGACUCGGCAUA